ACGACGCAGUGACGUCGACGUUGCCCUGGCAACCUAGGGACACUCGUGGAGUUGGUGGACCGCCCCACCUGUGACCCGCGCUGUCUCAGGUCGUGACCUGUGUGAGCGAAAAAGCCUAAAAUGAGCCUGGUUUAAGAGCUGCUGCUGGUGCUGGACUCUUCUAGAAAACCUGUCGCGUCGGUUUGGUCUCUCUUCAUUAUAACACCGUUAACUGGUUGGAGUAUACCAAUAAAUAUGCUGUUACUGGUCAAACAAGCCACUUCCUUACGUUGCUGUCUUCAAUCAAAAUGUUGACUGUUCUAUGGAAGAUGAGGAUCCAGCACACACACUGUAUCUUCUUGUCUUCCAAUUCUGGUUUCAAUAUGAACCAGAGACCAUUAGGAACACCCCUGAAAUCAAGUGAAGUUUAUUAUUUUCUGCAACAAAGGAGACCCUACAUCAUGCAGAGCAAAGUCCUAAUAAAUUAAUGGAUUUCAGCAGUGAUCAUCAUUGGUUGCUGACAUCCUAUGGAAAAAAAAAAAUCAAUCAGGUAUUAUGCGCCUCCUAAUGGAAGUACAUGACAUCGCUUAUGACCUAUCUUUGCCAAUAAAUCAAAAAGCCUCUAGAGCUAACAACCAAUCUACGGGAGAUAUUAGAAGAAGAGGAACAUUUGAAUUAUACCAUGUGUAUGCAAUCAGCAAAAUUUAUACUGUGGGAUACUCCACAAGGGAAUAAAAAAAACAUUU